CCUACGGGAGGCAGCAGUGAGGAAUAUUGGUCAAUGGGCGGGAGGCUGAACCAGCCAAGCCGCGUGAAGGAAGAAGGCGCCAAGCGUCGUAAACUUCUUUUGUCGGGGAACAAAGGGCGCCACGUGUGCCGUUUUGAGUGUACCCGAAGAAAAAGCAUCGGCUAACUCCGUGCCAGCAGCCGCGGUAAUACGGAGGAUGCGAGCGUUAUCCGGAUUUAUUGGGUUUAAAGGGUGCGUAGGCGGUCCGGAAAGUCAGCGGUAAAAGACCGGGGCUCAACCCCUGCGAGCCGUUGAAACUGUGUGACUAGAGAGGGCGAGAAGUACGCGGAAUGCGCGGUGUAGCGGUGAAAUGCAUAGAUAUCGCGCAGAACUCCGAUUGCGAAGGCAGCGUACCGGCGCCGGACUGACGCUGAUGCACGAAAGCGUGGGUAUCGAACAGGAUUAGAUACCCUUGUAGUC
rnacentral:rRNA from 1 species